rnacentral:rRNA from 1 species
AACGAACGCUGGCGGCAGGCCUAACACAUGCAAGUCGAGCGAGCAUUUCGGUGCUAGCGGCGGACGGGUGAGUAACGCGUGGGAACGUGCCCUUUUCUGCGGAAUAGUCCUGGGAAACUGGGGGUAAUACCGCAUACGCCCUUUUGGGGAAAGAUUUAUCGGAGAAGGAUCGGCCCGCGUUGGAUUAGGUAGUUGGUGGGGUAAUGGCCCACCAAGCCGACGAUCCAUAGCUGGUUUGAGAGGAUGAUCAGCCACACUGGGACUGAGACACGGCCCAGACUCCUACGGGAGGCAGCAGUUGGGAAUCUUAGACAAUGGGGGCAACCCUGAUCUAGCCAUGCCGCGUGAGUGAUGAAGGCCUUAGGGUUGUAAAGCUCUUUCAGCUGGGAAGAUAAUGACGGUACCAGCAGAAGAAGCCCCGGCUAACUCCGUG